rnacentral:tRNA from 1 species
GUCCUCGUAGUUCAAUGGACAGAAUAGAAGUUUCCUAAACUUUUGAUACAGGUUCGAUUCCUGUCGAGGAUACCA